UACGAAGGGGGCUAGCGUUGCUCGGAAUGACUGGGCGUAAAGGGCGCGUAGGCGGUUCAUACAGUCAGAUGUGAAAUUCCCGGGCUUAACCUGGGGCUGCAUUUGAUACGUGUGGGCUUGAGUGAGGAAGAGGGUUGUGGAAUUCCCAGUGUAGAGGUGAAAUUCGUAGAUAUUGGGAAGAACACCGAUGGCGAAGGCAGCCCCCUGGGCUAACACUGACGCUCAGGCACGAAAGCGUGGGGAGCAAACGAGG
rnacentral:rRNA from 1 species